rnacentral:snRNA from 10 species
CUGUUCUUAUCAGUUUAAUAUCUGAUACGUCCCCUACCCGGGGACCAUAUAUUAAAUUGAUUUUUGGAACUGGGAGAUGGAAAAGGGGCUUGCCCCGUCCACUCCACGCAUCGACCUGGUAUUGCAGUACCUCCAGGACCGGUGC